rnacentral:rRNA from 1 species
GACGUAGGGGGCAAGCGUUAUCCGGAAUCAUUGGGCGUAAAGAGCGUGUAGGCGGCUCGGUAAGUCCGCUGUGAAAGUCCAGGGCUCAACCCUGGAAUGCCGGUGGAAACUGUCGAGCUAGAGUCCGGAAGAGGCGAGUGGAAUUCCUGGUGUAGCGGUGAAAUGCGCAGAUAUCAGGAGGAACACCAAUGGCGAAGGCAGCUCGCUGGGACGGUACUGACGCUGAGACGCGAAAGCGUGGGGAGCAAACAGG